UCCCUCCCCUGAGUCCCCACCCUCUGAUACGAAAAUGAAACGUCCAAGGGGUUUUAAUACACUGGAUUUUGGAUUUAUCAAGUAGUAUAUAGCAGGGCCCUUCUUCUCUCUUUACUUUCCCCUUGUGUUAUUUAGUACUGUUGGAUGUUUUUCAGAGACGCACAAAUACAGUAUUUUGGAACACAAGUCGCUUUCCAGUCUCUGAUUCUCAUGACGACAGCGACCCAUCAUCAUCUCCCUUCCUCUUCUUCCAUAAAACAAAUCUGAACAAACAUCUUUUCUUUUCUCAUCCAGCAAUUUCUCUCUCUCUCUCUCUCUCUCUCUCUCUCUCUCUUGUAUUCUUUCACCUUCUUCCCCUUGCAUAUUUCCUCGAAUUUUGUUGCAUAAGCCUUUCAGCUUCCUCUUUUGUUUUUUUCUUAUACUGUUUUUGUUUCUUGCUGUGAAUUGUCGAAUCUGAAACUAAUCUGCAGCAUCAGUGGAGACUUGGUGUUUAAUGUAACCAUGACAUCUCUCAGACCCUCAGUUAAGUUUUUUUUUAAAUCUCCUUUCUUUCUUGUAGCCUAAAUUUCCUCUUGAAGAUAUGUCGCUCCUUGUGCAGCACUUUUGUGUUUUUAUGGAGUAUUUAUUUUGCUGGGUUUUCCGAAAUUUUUGUGACUUUUAGUAUCAGAGAAGGCUAAGAAAAUUAGGUUUUGACAACACAAGUAAUAGUAUAUGAAUAAGUGAAUAUGAUCUGUUCUUGACUGGAUCAUUCAGUUUAAACAAUCAUGGGUAAAGUGGGAAUCGGCUCUUUCUUUUCUGUUUACCAAGCUUGAAAUAGGGUUAGGGUUUGUGUAGGCUGAUUCUGCCUAGCUUUUCUUUUUUGUGGAGUAAUUUAUUAUUUUGUUGCAAAAUUGGGGCAAUACUUUUUUAUUUAUUGUUUAAAACAAGGACCCGGGGAUGCUACCAAGCUUCUUGUUGAGCUGAUUCAGAGCGGUCGAUUUAGGCGUUCAUCUUGACACAGACGGCUCGGAUCGAAUAUGAAUGCAUACAAAUUGCAUACAAAUCUGAACCGUCUCUUGUUCGGUUAAGAUCUGAACCAUCGAUUAGAAAAAGAGAUGAGCGGUUGGAUCGUCCACCCUGCACCGCUUCUCCCAUAGCAAGAUAUGCAUUAAAUGCUUUUCUUGUACUUGUUAAACUCUUUGGUUGCAGCUUUAUAACAGAGAUUUUAAGCCAAAAACGUGCGAUAGAAAACCAGGUUAGAUACACAAUUUAAGCUUGCUUUUAAUGACCAGGGUUGAAAUUUACAGUCUCUUUUGAUUUAUUAAACAACUAAUUGGUUGCAAGUAUACUUAAAUGCUUUUCUUGUACCGAUCAAAAUCUUUGAUUGUAGUAACAGAAAAUUUAAGUAGAAAUUUUGAAAAUAAAAAACCAGGAUAAAUACGAAAUUUAUUUAAGGUAGCUUUUACUAUAUAGCUUGUUUUGUUUUUGUUUAUUUUUCUCGUGUUGGACUGAUAUGAUUUGCAAAAUGGAUUUUGGUUUGGAAACUAAUCUUUGUACAGGCAGAUUGAAAACCAAUUGUAGGGCUUACCAUAAGGAGAAACUCUGAAAGUUUUAUGAUUUAUCAAUUCUUUAUAUGAUUACUUGUAAAAAUCGCGCUUAAAGCUCAUCGUAGAGUCGUGAUUCUUGUGAAUCCAUAAUCAUCGUUGUGAAUUGCUCAUAUUUGUGUAGUUGUUACUUAUUCUUCUAAUUCUCACCGAAGAGAACUACUCAAAGUAACUUGGAAAAAAAACAUCUCCCAAUAAUCCGUUCCCUCAUUGUUUCGAUCUCAAACAUGAAGAAGGUAAUAUAUUGACCUAAUUAAUCAAGAAACGAGUAUUGUUUCUGUGGCGUAUAUUUAACUUGCAAAUUUAGUAUUUUUCCUUCGUUGUCUGAUGGCAGAAACCUAUGUGUGGUUAUAACAUAAAAGUUAUAGCUGCAUCACAAAUUCAGUAAUUGCUGACCUUUGAAAUCACGGUGUAAUUAGUUGUUUGUUGUUUUCUCUUUAACGAGUUGCAUUAGCGAAACUAAGCAUUUGAAAUCAUACAUUCUGGAUGUUUCUCAUACUGUAGAAAACUCACCAUCGGUUUUAUUAAUGAUUCUGUCCUUCACCACUUAUGAUUUGGAGAAUUAACCUUGGUAAUAGAGAAAUUUCGUUGAUUCUGAUUUGUGUCAGUUGAAUGCAGUUGAAUUAGGUAACCAGUCCGAAGAAAGGAGCUGCAAAGGAAUGGUCCGAGAGAGCUUCCUUCUGCCCACCCAUGGAGGAUAUCAGGGGUCUGAAUUAGCUGCCGACUCAUUCAUCCGACCACUCAGUAGAAAAGGCAUUCGCUGGUUGCAUGCUACUGUGGUUGCGUGAAUGAUGCGGGAGAUAGUUUUCAUUCUUCUCCCUCUGUGCUUGGACUGAAGGGAGCUCCUUCUUUCUGCUGCCUUGUAUCCCCUCCUCCUCUUGAUUCAUGACGUGUUUCGUAUUAUUGUUGCGUUGGAAAACAUUACAAAUCUCCUCUCGUUGUUUUGCCCGCCCUUGGUACAAAACUUGGCUACUGUGGUAACCACUGUUCUCCAUAUGUUGCCUUUCUUUUUUUUCUCUUUAGUAUGUGUAGCUAGGGUUACCCUUGUUACUUCUCCUGUGUUAUCCUGAUUUCUCUUUAGAAAAGAGUGCUAUUUCCUCACUAUAGACUAAAGUCCUCUUUGAUCAGUGGACUUCACCAUAUAAAUAGUGAAUCUUAUGUUGUUAAAAUUGGGAAUUCUACGGUGAUCAGCCCAUGCAAUUUUCUCCUUGCUUGUUGAUCAGUGGUUGUACUCCUCAAGUCUAAAUUAGAUCUGCCAUGUUCAACGACAACGGCUUGAAGUGGUUUGUAAGCAAAACCCUCACUUAAUUUCUUGUUAUUUAUUUCAGAUGGGAGCCUCAUCCUUUGUUUUGGUAAAUCAAAAACUAAAGCUUCCGUUCACACUUGUUUCUAGUGUGCGCCUUUCCUUAUAUGUUGAACGUUUUGUAUAAAGGUCAGUGCUAAUUGCUCUUUUCUUUUGUCUAGUCUAGAGACGCAAAGCUGGAAUUCUUUUCGUUUUCUUUCUAAUCGUUUUGCUGCAGUAGGACAAUGCAAUGGAGAUUGAAAGUUGAAGCUGAGUUGAGGUAAGUUUCUGGAAAGUAUUUCUGUUCUUAAUAAGUUUCGUUAUGGCUUAAACUUCGUUGUUUCACGGCUUUCGCCUUCGAGAUGGGUACUUGGAGCAGAUUUAGGUUUUGUUCCAGGUCCAACUCUUUCAGAAACUUUUGGCCUCAAGAAGUAGUGAUGAAAGUCCACUAAAAUAAUAAAACGGUGUGUUUCUGAUUCCUUUUUCUACCCUAAUCCUAAUUUAAAUAUGAUUUCUCACUAGCGGAUCACACACUUUGAUGCCUAGUUGUGUCGAGGAAGUACAAAGUUCGCGUAUGCUUUAGGGUUUAAAAUUCCAGUUUGUUUCCUUUCAUCAAGAAAGGAAGUACAAUUCCAUGGGUGCUUUUAGGUUUAAAAUUCCAGUUUGUUUUGGUUCAUCAAGGAAGAAAGUACACUUUGCCCUAAAUUUUAUUCCAUCUGCAUGUGUGCCUCAGUUUCAUUGGCUCACAGACCAUAUAUUAUAUAAGCCAUUUGCUUGGUUGGUUUUAAUGUUUAUUGUAUUUGUUGGACAGGUGAGGAGGGCACUUCUUCUUUGUUGGUUUUAAAUUUGGGUUAUGGGAGUUUUUCCAAAUGGGGGUGGGGGGGACCUCUCCAGCCCAGAUCCUGUUUUGGUAAUGUGCUUUGCUACAGUGCUGGUGCAGAUUGUACUGUACCUGGGUGGAUACCUACUGUUCCUAAGAGUCAAAAUACUAGUAGAUGCUGUCUUGCUGUGGUCCCAUUUUCUCAUCAAAUAUUGUAUUGUUUGGAAGAAUGAUGCAUAAUGAACCAAUGGUGGUCUAUAUUUUAUUGGAA